rnacentral:rRNA from 1 species
AUUGAACGCUGGCGGCAUGCCUUACACAUGCAAGUCGAACGGCAGCACGGUCUUCGCCCGCUUUUCGGGUUGCGGAGGGGUGAGUGGGUUAUCGGAACAUACGCAUCUGCUGGUGCUAACGUGGCGACGGAUACGCUAAUACCCCAAACGCUCUUUGGAUCAACGGGGGGAAGCGCAAGGCCUUCUGACCUUGCGCGGGCCGAUGUCCGAUUAGCUAGUUGGUGAGGUAAAGGCGCACCAAGGCGACGAUCCGUAGCUGGUCUGAGAGGACGAGCAGCCACACUGGAACUGAGACACGGUCCAGACUCCUACGGGAGGCAGCAGUGGGGAAUUUUGGACAAUGGGCGCAAGCCUGAUCCAGCAAUGCCGCGUGAGUGAAGAAGGCCUUCGGGUUGUAAAGCUCUUUUGUUAGGGAAGAAACGGUAGAGGCUAAUACCCCGUGGUUCUGACGGUACCUGAAGAAUAAGCACCGGCUAACUACGUG